UCUCUGCUAGUAUAUCGGUUAGUACACGCGCCUGUCAAUGGUAGAACAUUUGAUGUGACGCGCGAAAGCUGGGUUCGACUCCCAGGCAGAGAG
rnacentral:tRNA from 1 species